rnacentral:rRNA from 1 species
AGAGUUUGAUCCUGGCUCAGGACGAACGCUGGCGGCGUGCUUAACACAUGCAAGUCGAACGAGGGCCCGGAGCUUGCUCUGGUGACCCGAGUGGCGGACGGGUGAGUAACACGUGACCAACCUACCUUCGGGAGGGGGACAACCUGGGGAAACCUGGGCUAAUACCGCAUAUCGUCCACGGGCCGCAUGGCCUGUGGAUAAAAGGGAGCCUCUGCUUGCAUGCUCUCACCCGAAGAGGGGGUCGCGGCGUAUCAGCUAGUUGGUGGGGUAAUGGCCUACCAAGGCAUCGACGCGUAGCGGGUCUGAGAGGACGACCCGUCACAUUGGGACUGAGAUACGGCCCAGACUCCUACGGGAGGCAGCAGUGGGGAAUAUUGCGCAAUGGCCGAAAGGUUGACGCAGCGACGCCGCGUGUGGGAGGACGCCCUUCGGGGUGUAAACCACUGUCAGGGGGGAAGAACUUCGCAGGUGUGAAUAGCGCUUGCGGUUGACGGUACCCCCAGAGGAAGCGCCGGCUAACUCCGUGCCAGCAGCCGCGGUAAGACGGAGGGCGCAAGCGUUGUUCGGAAUUACUGGGCGUAAAAGGCAGGUAGGUGGUCUGUUAAGUCUUCUGUGAAAACCCGGGGCUCAACCCCGCGGAAUGCAGGUGAAACUGGCAGACUUGAGACCGGUAGAGGCUAGCGGAAUUCCUGGUGCAGC